ACACAAGCGGGACCUUUCAAAAGUACUGGAUGGAUUUCACUGCAGCUAUCACUCAAUUGACGACCAAUCAGUAUCAGGACCAAGACAGCACCAUGCCUCUCGAGCAGAACCUCCUACCCUGCUUGUCCAUCCUCAAUCUUCAUUCUUCCUACUGUGCACACCUUUCUAGAUACAGAGGCAGUUUUCAGAAGGAGGGUUGAUGUCACCACUAACAUUUUGCACACAGUGAUGUAAGAGAUUCUUCCUACUCAGAGUCGUAAUUGGGUUGAUGAUCUACAUGAUGGUGAUGAACCAGGACAGCUCCGGACCCCCUGUCAGGCAGCUCCAUCCUCAACCACACAUGUGCAGGUACAGAGGCAGUUUUCAGAAGGGUUGAUGUCACCGACA